CUCCGUGUUCCUUGACUCUGGGCAACUUAAAAGCCCCAAUACUUUUACUUUCGCCACACAAAGAGGUUCUUCUUACUGGAGGGAGAGCAGAUGUAGGGCAUCCUACCGAGAAUUUCCGGAACCACAUGCGAGAUGAUGCCAGUCAUGAACGUCUCCGCGCCUCCUUUCGCUUUGGAAAUAUCCUUAAGUAGAAAUUUUCUGAGCUUUGCCUAAAACUAGAAUCUGUGUUGAGGUUUUUCAAAAUUAAGUAACGCCAGAGACAUACUGUGACGUGAGGAAACGCUCUUAAAUGAAAUUUUAAGAUCUAUUUGAGAAACAUGUACUAAAAAUGUACUGACCUCCUAUUAAUGCCAGGCACUAUGCUGAAUUCUGGGCCUUCACAUUGUCCUUCCAUCAUUAGAACUGAAGCCCAGAUUAUUUUAAACAAAAAAUAAACUUCAAUAAUUUAUUACAAUUUGCAAAGGAACAAAAUUUUACUUCACAAUUGUACAUUUCGUUUUCGUAAUUUUUAGGACAAAAUAGCUUAAUUGACUCUUCUGUCAUACAAAUAAUCAGCUGAAGGAAAUGGCAUUUAAGAGCAUCGAACAAUAAUAAAUAUUUGAUUAAAUAAAAACCGUGAGAAGAGAGUAGGGAGAAGGUCCUAUGUCGCUCAUUGAUGCACUUAACAAACAUUUGUCAACUCCUAGGAGUUGCAUUCUGUACAAAAUGCACAACAAUUCUUACUAAAGUUCAUAAUAUAGUAAUUCAUUUGAGCUGAAUUACCUUCCAGUCCUAAAGACACAGCCAAAACUAUUCGAAAAGUGGGGGGAAGGUGUUUUGUUUUGUACUUUAACAAAAAGGGGAAGAGAAACAAAUUUAAAAGAGGGGAAGAGUCAUUGUUCAUUUAUUAAAAUAAGCAUUCCUACACCUUUUAGAAAGUAAAGCAGUCAUGUGCAUGCUGUUAAUUCAGAUUUAUGCAUUUAUUUAUUUAUUUUGAAACGGAGUCUCAUUCUGUCGCCCAGGUGCGGCCAAUUUUUGUAUUUUUAGUAGAGAUGGGAUUUCACCUUAUUGGCCAGGCUGGUCUCGAACUUGUGACCUCAAGUGAUCCUCCUGCCUCGGCCUCCCAAAGUGCUGGGAUUAGAGGCGUGUGCCACCGCGCCCGGCUAUUAUUUGAUUUUUAUUAGUUAUCUCAAACUCUUAUUUGGUCCUGAAAUCGUUAUUUUAUUUUAAGGAUGCUAUGAAUCUUAAAAUUCUUUUUCUUGGCUACUAGAAACUUAGAACCAAGUGUGCAGCCUGCCUUUAGCAAAUGUACAGGCAUCACUAAUUCAUUUAUUUAUUCUUAUAUUUAACACCUAUUAUGAUACAUAUUAUGAGGUGCUACAGAUUUAGUAGUAAAAUAAAUGCAGUCCUAGCAUGAGUGGAGAAGUUCAUCUUGUACCAUUUAAGAGAGACAUUAAAUGAAUAACCUCAAAUGUGAUAGUAGGAUGAAAUUGAGUGGGGUCACCAAGUCUUAGGUGAUAGGAAGGUCUCUUUAAUUACUGACUUUUCAGGCCGGAGGCAGUGGCUUGUGCCUGUAAUCCCAGCACUUUGUGGGGCUGAGGCCAGGCGGAUGGAACACCUGGGGUCAGGAGUUCCAGACCAGCCUGGCCAAUAUGGCAGAACUCUGUCUCUACUAAACAACAACAACAAAAAAUUAGCUGGGCAUGGCGGGGCACACCUGUGAUCCUAGCUAAUCGGGAGGUUAAGGCAGGAGAAUAGCUUGAACCCGGGAGGUGAAGGUUACGGUGAGCUGAGAUCGGGCCACUGCACUCCUGCCUGGGUGACACAGCAAGACUCCAUCUCAAAAAAAAAAAAAAAAAAAAAGGAAAAUGGAAAAAAAAAAGGAAAAGAAACCAACUUUUCAGUUGAAAGUUCAAAGCUGAGUGUUCAGAGGAGCCUUCAAGGCUACAGGAAUCCUUAAUUUUUUUGCAGGUAUCUGAGUUGAAAGAACCAGGCCUAUUUAAGGAGGUGGAAAAAAUCCAAAAAAGCUUUGAUUCAGAAUGGGGAUGACAGUGUAUGGCAAGAAUUAUGCAGAUUAACUUUAGCUUCAUACCUUUCUACUUACCUGUUUAAAUCUUGAUUUUAAAUUCUUCCUUGAGCAUAGUAAUGUAUAAACUCCUACAUAUUUCAGAUUAGUCUAUUUUCAUUAAAUAAAAUGUCUAUGAAGUUUCCCCCUCUAAAGAAAGAAAAGCCUAGCAUUUCAACCUAUAUUCUUGAGGCAGGAUGGGGAGGGAUACAAAAACUUAAUUAUAAUACAAAGCAGAUUUUAUAUAUUUUGAAAAUUUUAAGAAUUUUUCUAUGAGAGACUAGAUAUAAACUGACAGGAGAGUUCUGGGAAGACUACAGAGGACUGAUACUUGAUUUAGGCCUCAAAGUGUUUGAACAAUCAUGGGACAGAAGAAAAUCCAAGUGAGAGAAAUAAUAUAAGGUAUUACAAGUGGAUAAAUAAUGUGCACUGCUCUGAGCCCAAAGGUACGCAGUGGACCUGGCCUCUCUGAUAUGCAUCAGUAUAGCCAAUGGCUAGCCAGCAGACAUGAAGCUAAUUUGCUACCAAUGAAAGAAGAUCUGGCCUUGUGGUUAACCAAUCUAUUAGGGAAGGAGAUUACAGCAGAAACUUUUAUGGAGAAGUUGGACAAUGGUGCCUUGCUCUGUCAACUUGCAGAAACUAUGCAGGAGAAAUUCAAGGAGAGCAUGGAUGCUAACAAGCCCACAAAGAAUCUACCGUUGAAGAAGAUCCCAUGCAAAACCAGUGCACCCUCGGGCUCCUUUUUUGCCAGAGACAAUACAGCAAAUUUCUUAUCCUGGUGCCGAGAUUUAGGGGUGGAUGAAACAUGUCUAUUUGAAUCGGAAGGUUUGGUCCUCCACAAGCAACCCAGAGAAGUGUGUCUCUGUCUGCUAGAGCUUGGCCGGAUUGCAGCCAGGUAUGGUGUGGAGCCUCCUGGUUUGAUAAAGCUGGAAAAAGAGAUUGAACAAGAAGAAACACUUUCUGCCCCUUCUCCUUCACCUUCUCCUUCAUCAAAGUCUUCUGGAAAAAAGAGUACAGGAAACUUACUGGAUGAUGCAGUGAAACGAAUUUCUGAAGAUCCUCCUUGCAAAUGCCCAAACAAGUUCUGUGUGGAGCGGCUCUCCCAAGGAAGAUACCGAGUGGGAGAAAAGAUCCUCUUCAUUAGGAGUUCCACUCUUUUUGUCGACAAUAAUAUGGCGCCCAAACACGUGGGGCCUCAGAGAAGACUCUGGAUCCGGAAGGAGUAUACCAAAACCAGAGCUAAGGUACCAGCUGGAGCCCACUGAAGCCUCACCGAGUUUGGACUUCUCCUCCUGUGGAACUGGAAACCAAAAUCAUGGUAUUUUGAAAACCAGAGGUAUGAAUCUCCCUCGUUUGGCAUCCCACUGGGCCUGGACCUGUUUCACUGCUAAUGUUCUGCUGCCAAAACUAUACAAGCUGCCUGGACUAUUGCAGAAGAGCUGAAGAAGUCCACAACCUGGAAACACCAAGACAACCAGACAAAAAAAGCCCUGAAACAAAAGUUUGCUGUUUCUAGCCAAAGAAUCAAGAAAGGAGCAGCCUAGCAUGAAAUAAACUUGUAAGCAAUGGAAAAGAAAAUUACCAAAAACAGAGAAGGAUAUUACAUGAUUAAUAAAAGUGUCAAUCCAACAAAGAGAGAACAUUCCUAAACGUGCAUGCGCCAAACAAUGAUGCUGCAAAAAAAUGAGAAUCAAAAACUGACAGAAGUGAAAGAAGAAGUCAACAAAUCAGCAAUUAUAGUUUGAUACUUCAACAACCUUCUCACAACAAUGGAUAGAAAAGCUAGAUAAAAAAUCAACAAGCAUACAGAAUUCCACAAUGCUAUUAACCAACAAGAAACAAGAUCUGAAAACUUUUUUAGAGUACUACACCCCAGAACAGCAGAAUACAUAUCAUUUCAGGUACUAACAGACCAUAUACCAAGAUAGAGUACAACUUGGGUCAUAAAGCUAAUUAACCUCAACAAAUGUAAAAUAAUUAAAAACAUACAAAGUGUGUUCUUUGAUCACAAUAAAAUCAAACUAGAAACUUUUAACAGAAAGUGACUUUAACCAUUCUGCCUGCUAUAACAAAAUACUAUAAACAGAGUAAUCUGUAAACAACAGAUAUUUAUUUAUCACGGUUUGAGCUGGAAAGUCCAAGGUCAAGGCUUCAGUAGAUUUGGUGUCUGGAGAAGAUCGAUUUCUUGGCCCGUAGAUAGUGCUUUCUUGUUGUGUCUCCACAUAGUGGAAGCGUAAGAGGUCUUUCCAAGGCUUCUCUUAUAAGAGUACUAAUCAGAUUCAUAAUGGCUCUACCUUCAUGACCUAAUUGCCUUCCAAAACCCCCCCACCUAAUUCCAUCACCUUGGAAGUUAGGAUUUCAACAUAUGAAUGGUGGGGAGGGGGUUAUGAUAAUUCAGUCCAUUGCAAAAAUAUAAAAGAAAAAUCUCUAGACACUUGAAAACUAGGCAACACAUGUGUGUAAAUAACCUAUAGAUCAAAGAGAAAGUCUCAGGGAAAAAGAUAAUGCAUUGCACUGAAUGAAAGUGAAAAUACAACACAUUAACAUUUAUGAAAAAUAGCUAAAGCGAUGCUGAGAAGAAAAUUUAUAGCACCAAAUGCAUACAUUAGAAAAGAAGAAAAGUCUCAAAUUCAUCAUCUAAACUCUCACCUAAAGAAAUUAAAAAAAAAAAAUCAGGACAACAUAAGCCCAAAGCAAGCAGAUAAAAAUAAAAUAAAAAAGAGCAAAGAUCAGUUAAAUUGAAAAUAUAAAACGUAGAGGAAAUCAGUAAAACAAAGUGUAGUUUACUCAAAAAGAUAAAAUUGAUAAACUUUUAACAACACUGGCAAAAAAUAAAGACACAGAUUACAAAUAUAAUACAUGAAAUAGGGCAUAUUACUAUAGAUCCUUCAGACAAAGGAUGAUGGGGAAUAAGAUGAACAACUUAUAUAAAAAUUGACAAUUAGGAUAGAGUGGACUGCUAGUUACUUGAGAAACAUAAGCUACCAAAACUUAUCCAAUAUGAAAUAGAUAAAUUGAAUAGUUCUACAACUGUGAAUAAAAUUGAAUUCAUAAACUAAAAUAGUUCUACAACUGUGAAUAAAAUUGAAUUCAUAAACUUCAGACAAUUAAAGGAUGCUGGGGAAUAAGAUGAACAACUUAUAUAAAAAUUGACAAGAUAGAGUGGACUGCUAGUUACUUGAGAAACAUAAACUAGCAAAACUCAUCCAAUAUGAAAUAGAUAAAUUGAAUAAUUCUACAACUGUGAAUAAAAUUGAAUUCAUAAACUAAAAAUUACCAAAAAAAUCUCCAGGACCCUAUAAUUUUGCUGGAAAAUCUAGCAAAUGUUUAAGGAAGGAUUGGCACUAAAACUGCACAAUCUCUCCUAGAGAAUAGAAAAGGAAGGAAUGCUUCCUAAUUUAUUUUAUAAAGUUAGUAUUACCCUUAUAUUAAAACCAGACACAGACAGCACAUAAAAGAAAACUAGACCAAUGUACCUCAAGAAUACAUAUUAAAAAAUGGUUAACAUUAUAUUAGCAUACAAUGCAGCAAUAUGUAUAACUAUACACUAUGACAAUGUGUGUAAUGACAAAGUAUGAUUCAUCAUGGGAGGCAAACCUAGUUCAAUAUUCAAAAAUCAAUGUACUUUAUUAAGAGGCUAUGGAUGAAAAUUACAUGAUCAUACCAAUCAAUGCAAAAAAGUUGGACAAAGUCAAUACUCUAAGAAAUAUAGAAAUAGAGGUGAACUUUCUUAACACAAAAUAGUUACAGCUACCAUUAUAGUUAAUGGGAAAAGUGUAAAUACUUUUCCUUUCAGAAUAGAAACAAGGCAAGGAUGUGUACUCUCAUCACUGGUAUUCAACAUAAUGCUAGGAGUUCUAGCCAGUGCAAUAAAACAAGCAAAGGAAAUUCAAAAAAUACAUAUGGAAAAGGAGUAAAUAAAACUGACCUGUAAGGCAUCUAAAAAACAAAAACUUCUAGAAAUAAUAAGUGAAUUCAGCAAGUUUAUAGGAUACAGAUAAACAUACAAAAAUCAGUUCUAUUUUUAUAUUCUGGCAAUGAACACCUGCAAUUAAAAAUAUAAUACUAUCUACAAAAAUAAAAUUAUAGUUGUAAAUCUAACAAAAUAUG